rnacentral:lncRNA from 1 species
CCUCUCUCUCUCUCUCUCUCUCUCUCUCUCUCUCUCUCUAUAUAUAUAUAUAUAUAUAAAUAUAAUAUAAAGUUUGGCAACGGUCAAUGAUAGAACUUUCGAAUCGACGAUUCAUACCGUUAAAUAUUAUUUAUAAUAUUUAAAAUUUUUAAAAAUUAAAUUUUAUAAUUUUUUGACAUCAUUAUCUUAUGAUAAAAAAGAUCACAAAAUUGACAACUUUUAACUGCCGGUAUAAAAUAUUAGCUAGCUUAACGGUGUAAAAGAAUUAGAAUAGCUUGAAUUUUUUAUAGAAAAUUCUAUUCACUAGCCAAAUAAAAAUUAAUAAUUCCGGUCUUAAAUUGAAGGUUUCGAUCAUUUUUUUUAGAAUGUCGUUCGAUUUUGACCGUUUAUUUUAUGUUCGUUAAUUUUUUAAAAUUUUUAAAUACUCUAUAUUAUAUUUAACGGAGUGGAUCGUCGAUUUAGAAACUCUAUCAUCAAAAAUAAUUUAUACGAAUAAAGCACCAUAUAUUUAUAAAAGUAUAGUAGCUGAAUUUUAUAUAUAUAUAUAUAUAUAUAUAUU